GCAGGUUUAAGAAAUCAGCUGUAAUGAUUUUAUUCAGUUUGGCAAAUGUCCGAGCCCGUUAAAAAAAGAACAAACUGAAACUACAGUUGCUGACUUCACUACCUUCAAAAAAAGGGAACAGUUUGGAAGUCCCAUAUACUGAAAUGUGACCAACAAAAAUACUUAUAGAUUUUGUUAACACUGCCAUGUAUGUAAAUAUUUCUUCGCCUUUUUUACGAACACAAAAUUCAAGGAUCCCACAUUUGCCUUUAAUUAUCUAUACGAAC
rnacentral:lncRNA from 1 species